UUAAUAAGCAAUUUCCAAAGUUGAUUAGAACAGAAAGUAUGUGGACCCAGUGUUCUUUGAGACGUCUGUCUGGGCUAAGAUGUCUGGAGAGGAAUUGCAAAGAGCCAGUCCACAUUAUUCUGCCACAGUCAUCACCAUUUCUUCCUGUAAGCCCAAGAAUGAGGUUUAUUUCCAGUAAUGAGAAAAGAGGAAUAGGGAAGGAGGUUCGUUGCAGUUUAAGCAAUUAAAAUCAUGCUGGUGUGGCAAUUAUAUUCUCAAGACAAAUUUCCAUCAUGAAGUUUGAUUCACUCUACAAUAUGGUAUAUAGUUUUCUGACAACAGAUUUAACAGCAGCUCCCUGUUUGUGGCUGCAAUGCUUUAGGUGCUCAGAGCUCAACUCUGGCUUCCUGAUGGGCACACAGACUUCUCUUGUUGGAAAACCAUAAUGAGACAUUUCUAGUUUAGUUUGUGCCUAGUACAUUUCUAGUCAAUCCUUAUAUCCAGAUCAGAGCAAACACACAUGCCACUCAAUGGAGCUUAAAAAAUAUCCAGCUAGAUGUUUAUUUAUUAAACAUCAACAAACUUCACAACAAAGUUAAAUUGGCAAACUGGAAUAAAAGCCAUACCAAAAUAGAAAAAGAGAAGCAUGAGCAGUCACCAUCCCAAAAGGGAAUGGCUUUGACCCUUUUAUGUAUAUAGCAUAUUCUAUGUAACCUUUUGUGUAAAUACAGUAGCAGAAUAGAGAUGGAAAAUGGAACUCCAGGUGGUCUAUCCUGUAAUAUAUAUCAUGAAGAAAGUAUUUAGGGGAGAAGGAUGGAGACAAUAUUUUUCUUGUUUGAUUAUCUCUACAUUCAUUCCCAUCCCCUACACCCCAAGCAGGUAAUAAUCUUUAUUAGAAACAAGUGAACUAUCACAGCAAUGACAAUGUUUUGAGUAGUCAAGAAUUCUCAAAUUAUAUAGAUUUCAAGCAUGGAAUGCAGGAAAAAAAAGUCAAAACUGAACAAAAUAUUUUGGUCAUGUGGUUUACAUUUCACUUUGUGGCAUUGUGGACUCUGGGCAGAUCCCUAUUGCUUGUAUGACAGUUCUCUUUAAGACAGAGGUGAUCCAGAGACUAUUCCAAGCACUCCUCUUGUCACACACAAUUAAAAAAUUUUGAGACAUCAUUGAAAUCAUUAUCAACCAGUGGAGUUUGUCAAAGGUUUGAAUACUUCCAGCACCAUUUUUGCAGCUUGCAUAUUUAUGGAGAGGCAUAGAGAAAAGAAGUCAUUAAACCUGGCUUUCCUCAACCUAGAAAAAGAUUUUGACUCUGUUUCACAUCAUUUGAUAAGGUAUUCACUAUGUGACCAUGGCAUGGCCAAGCUAAUCAUAACAUGAAUCUGGAUCUUAAUAUCUGCUGAGUAUUAUGUGCUACCUGCCUUUCUGACAGCUUGUCAUGAAAAUUGGCUUUGUGUUAUCACUCUUGCUGUUCAUUCUCUUCAUGUAUAUCAUCAUGCAAGGCUCAUGCAAGAGCCUUGGUGGUGCAGGCUGUUAAAUGCCUAGCACUUAAGUUCCAGCUGCCUGCAAUUACUGCAGGCUCGAAUCCCACCAGGCUCAAGGUUGACUCAGCCUUCCAUCCUCUCGGGGUAGGUAAAGUGAGGACCCAAGAUUGUUGGGGGCAAUAAGCUGACUUUGUAAAAAUGCCGCUUAGCAAUAAGCAGGCAUAUACAAUGGAAUGAAGGCUAUUGCUGAGCGCAUUGGGUUGUAUCCCAAAAAUUGUAAGCUGCCCUGAGUCUUCGGAGAAGGGUGGCAU
ensembl:lncRNA